GAUAACGCCGGCGGUGUGCCUAAUACAUGCAAGUCGAACGCGUUGGCCCAAUUGAUUGAUGGUGCUUGCACCUGAUUGAUUUUGGUCGCCAACGAGUGCGGACGGGUGAGUAACACGUAGGUAACCUGCCCAGAAGCGGGGGACAACAUUUGGAAACAGAUGCUAAUACCGCAUAACAGCGUUGUUCGCAUGAACAACGCUUAAAAGAUGGCUUCUCGCUAUCACUUCUGGAUGGACCUGCGGUGCAUUAGCUUGUUGGUGGGGUAACGGCCUACCAAGGCGAUGAUGCAUAGCCGAGUUGAGAGACUGAUCGGCCACAAUGGGACUGAGACACGGCCCAUACUCCUACGGGAGGCAGCAGUAGGGAAUCUUCCACAAUGGGCGCAAGCCUGAUGGAGCAACACCGCGUGAGUGAAGAAGGGUUUCGGCUCGUAAAGCUCUGUUGUUAAAGAAGAACACGUAUGAGAGUAACUGUUCAUACGUUGACGGUAUUUAACCAGAAAGUC
rnacentral:rRNA from 2 species